AUCUACGGCACACACAAUCAGGCACACGAUAAAUAAAAGAAAAAAAUAAGAUUUUACCCGUUGAGCUCGAACAGAGAAAGCGAAUGAAAAAUAGGAGGAAUGAGUAUUUUCAUGGAAUUUGCAGAUGACUCGGCGGGAAUAUAGUAGAGGAUGACGUGGUCAAAUUUGGGAUUAAUUGGAGAAAGUUUAGCACAUGAAAUGACGAGAUAACUGUGUGUUUAAGGGUUAAAACAGGGCUUAGGGGCUUAUCUGCGAGGAACCAGGAACUUGUUUGUAAAUAUUCUCGGAAGGUGGAAGGGUUGUUCUGUGAAAAGAGUAUGAGAAAGGUGGGACGAUUAUUUUGCGAAUAGGAGAUAGCAGGGGGUUAGAUCAAAAUUGGUGGGUGUUUUUCUCUUCUUCUUCUCGGUUCAGGAACACAGGGAGAUGGGGAGGAGAUGGCUGGCGGCGGACAGCCGGCCGGGCCUCGCCGGUGGCAAGCCGAGUGGC
rnacentral:lncRNA from 1 species